GGGGCUUAUGAAGGGGUGGGGAGCACUGCUCCCUGCCGCUUCUAUAGUUACAUAUUACAAGGAGGGAGCUGCGUGCCGGUAGCUCCCUCUUUGUAAUAAACUGCACGAACAAACGAACACUGAUACAUAGGGUUAGUUUGUUCGGCUGAUCUUUCUAUUCACUCAUUCGUCUGUCUGAUGAAUGAAUGAAUAGAUGAAAUUCCUGUUCGCAUGUCCAGGUGUUUCACUGGGCAUGUGCGGGAAUCUCACAGGCUAUCUAGUGUGGGCUGAUGACGUGUCCCACAGGGACUUCAUCUACCCACACAAAGAUGGCGGCGCCCUGAAUAUAGAUCGAGGCAGAAAAUAAGGAAUAAAAAAAAUGUAAUGUGGGGGGCUUAGGGGCAUUUGGGGGUGACUAGGGUGUUAGUUAGAUGUAGUGAAGGCCGGAGGGGGGUUAAAAAAAAACCAGGAUUCGGCAUGACAGUGCCGCUUUAAGCUCACAGGUCUAUAAUUUCCAGGCAGGGAUUUUGAACCCUUUUUGAAUAUAGGAACCACAUCUGCCUUCCUCCAAUCCUGCGGAACACUUCCUGAAAGAAAAGAAUCUUAAAAGAUUAAAAACAGAGGUUCACUUUUUUCUACACUUAGUUCCUUAAGUACUCGUGGAUGGAUACCGUCCUGUCUUGAGUUAACCAAUUACAAUUAUUCUGCAAGUUUUUAGUAGCAAUCAUUUGCACAUCUAUUGCCAUGGGUUCUUCCUUAAUAUAUACGGAGGAGAAAUAGUUAUUUAAAAUUCCUGCCUUUUCCUGGUCUUCAUUAACUAACACCCCCGUUUCAGUUUUUAAU